GCAGUCCAAGAAUAUUAGUCAAUGCUCGCAAGAGUGAACGAGCUAACUGAAAGAAUAUACAAUCUAAGGUUAGUAAUCUUAUAAAUUUUAUUAUAAGUUUAAAGACGAAUCUAACUAACAGUGUCGUCCAAAUUCUGGUGCCAGAAGACUCGGUAAUACCAGAGACGCGAACGUUAAUCAUCUUGAAUGGGCAUAAAGGGUUUGUAGGCGGCUUAUUUAUUAAUAGGCUAGAAUCUUAUAGAGGUUAAUAAAAUACUUAGAGGAGGGCUGAUAUCCUUAGAUCCUAAGUGGAAUCCUAAUUGCGAAGGCCAUUUUCCACUACAGAUUGACGCUGAGACACGAAGGUUAGGAUAGGAACUAGGAUUAGAGACCCUAUUACCCCUAACUGUAAACGAUGAAUGGAAGAUAUUUACUACUGUAAGUGUCGAAGUGAAUACGAUAACCAUUCCGCCUUGCCAGUAUACUUGCAAAAGUGAAAACAAAAAAAUUAGUCGGUCCUAAAGCAAACGAAGUGAAGCAUGUUAUUUAAUUC
rnacentral:rRNA from 1 species